CCCUUAGAUGUUCUGGGCGGCCCGCGCACUACAAUGGCGUGUGCAGCGAGUGCCGAAGUAGAGUUUUCCGAGGUAUUCUUGCAAUGCUCGUUUUGAUGGGGAUAGACCCUUGCAACUGUUGGUUUUGAACGAGGAAUUCCUUGUAAGCAUGGUUUAUCAUCCGACGCUGAAUGCGUCCCUGCCCUUUGUACACACUGCCCGUCGCUCCUACCGAUGAGUCGUCCGGUGAAGUUCGUAGACCUCGUGAUCGCGGAUCACUGGGGGAAGCAAAAUGAACCUCGCGGUUUAGAGGAAGGAGAAGUCGUAACA
rnacentral:rRNA from 1 species